GGGUUCAAAAUUUUCGUCAUCCUCAUCACCAUACAUGUCGUUGUUGGUAUCUUGGUGGGGAUCAAUGGGGUGCAAUGACACCAGUUGCGACAGGGCGGCAAAGAGAGUGGAAGCAUCU
rnacentral:sRNA from 13 species